UACAGAGGUCCCAAGCGUUGUUCGGAUUCACUGGGCGUAAAGGGUGCGUAGGCGGUCGGGUAAGUCUGACGUGAAAUCUUCAAGCUCAACUUGGAAACUGCGUCGGAUACUAUUCGGCUAGAGGAAUGGAGGGGAGACUGGAAUACUUGGUGUAGCAGUGAAAUGCGUAGAUAUCAAGUGGAACACCAGUGGCGAAGGCGAGUCUCUGGACAUUUCCUGACGCUGAGGCACGAAAGCCAGGGGGAGCAAACGGG
rnacentral:rRNA from 1 species